UUUAGGAUACUCUUAAACACCACAAUUCAACAUGAGGCUGUGUCUUAAAUGGAAAAUGGGUUUUGUCUCCUAGGUAAGAAGAUCUAUCUCCAUAAUAAUUAAAGCAGGGUCUAGAGUUGAAGACUACAGCAAGCGAGUCAGCAUGGGACACUCGGAACCACGUGUUGGAGGCACCUGUGUCCAGCGCUCUCUAUCAGUGUCUCCUACAUCUAGCCAAAUUCUGCUUUCUCGUGUUACAGUGAAAUCAAGGACUUCCUAGAUUAUCUACCCAAAUUGGAAUUUCUUGAAAUAUAUGAAUAUUGUUUAAAAAAAACCCACAAAAUUCAACUGAAUGAAUUUUAAGGAUCUCAUUGGCUGUAUUUGAUGAUUCAUGAACUGGAUGGCGUCCAAUCCAGCACACAGAAAGGAACUCAGAGGAACAAACAAAAUAAAAGACUUUUAUAGGCAGAAGGGAGCAAGAACAAGGAAUUAUGCUGGGCAAAAAAGCGAACUGGUUAUUGCAAGGUCACUUUCACAUGGGGCAGAUUACCCAAGUAGUGCUGAUCAAGUGAUUCCCGAUUGGCUGGUUGAAGAUUCCAUUUCUGGGAGAGCCAACACCGUAAUCAAGUUAAGUCUCAGUUUGGUGAUGUGGGGUUUAGCAUUAAUGGACUCCAUUUGGGGCCUAUUGUCUUGUUUUUAACAGUAUUAAUAAAUUCUGAGCAAUGGAA